rnacentral:rRNA from 1 species
CGGCGGACGGGUGAGUAACGCGUGGGUAACCUACCCUGUACACACAGAUAACAUACCGAAAGGUAUGCUAAUACGGGAUAAUAUAUUUGAGAGGCAUCUCUUGAAUAUCAAAGGUGAGCCAGUACAGGAUGGACCCGCGUCUGAUUAGCUAGUUGGUAAGGUAACGGCUUACCAAGGCGACGAUCGGUAGCCGACCUGAGAGGGUGAUCGGCCACAUUGGAACUGAGACACGGUCCAA